rnacentral:rRNA from 1 species
CACCGGCUAACUCCGUGCCAGCAGCCGCGGUAAUACGGAGGGUGCGAGCGUUAAUCGGAAUCACUGGGCGUAAAGCGCGCGUAGGCGGCGCUGUAAGUCAGACGUGAAAGCCCUCGGCUCAACCGGGGAAUUGCGUUUGAUACUGCAGUGCUUGAGUAUCGGAGAGGAUGGCGGAAUUCCAGGUGUAGGAGUGAAAUCCGUAGAUAUCUGGAGGAACACCAGUGGCGAAGGCGGCCAUCUGGACGAUUACUGACGCUGAGGUUGC